CUCAUAAAAAGUCUUGUGGAUAGUACAACAAGCUCCUAUGAGUUCAAAGGUAAGUAACUCUUUACUAAUUGUAUCUCAUGCAACUCUCAACAUAAUUUUUGUCUCUAAAACACUUAUAGCCUUGUAAAUAGCACAACAAACUAUAGUAUUUUAGUUAAGUUAUACCCUUCAAUCUUAUAUGGUCAUACCUGAAUAAUACUACUAUUGUGGAUCGCACAACAAGACAGUACUAUCAGAAUAUGUCAUAAGCAUCACUAAGUCAACAUCAUACCAAUCACUAUAGCAAGCCUUGUGGAUAGCACAACAAACUCACUACAGUUUUUGACAUACUCUAUUGACCUAGUAUGAGCUAAGUAUCAUUAGCUUCAUUAUGCACCAAGACAGUAUUAAGUCAAUCUCCACAGCAAACCUUGCCUACUAUGGUUCUUGACAUAAUAGUGACUUAGCAUAAAGGAAGGCAUGGGUAGUGUUCUUAACACUUCGUUAUUAUGACUAAAUAUAAUUUACAUAAGGGACUUAGGUCUCAAGCAUAUUUUUAACAUAUACAUGC
rnacentral:lncRNA from 1 species